rnacentral:rRNA from 1 species
AUUGAACGCUAGCGGGAUGCUUUACACAUGCAAGUCGAACGAGUGGAGGACGGGUGAGUAAUGUCUGGGAAACUUCCUGAUGGAGGGGUAUCACUCCUGGAACCGGUAGCUACUACCGCAUACCCUCGGUUUUGCCCCGAGUGUAUUAGCUCGUAGGUGGGGUAAAGGCUAACCUAGGCGACGAUCCCUAGCUGGUCUGAGAGGAUGACCAGCCACACUGGAACUGAGACACGGACCAGACUCCUACGGGAGGAAGCAGUGGGGAAUAUUGCACAAGGGGCGCAAGCCUGAUACAGCCAUGCCGCGUGUAUGAAGAAGGCCUUCGGGUUGUAAAGUACUUUCAGCGGGGAGGCGGUACCCGCAGAAGAAGCACCGGCUAACUCCGUGCCAGCAGCCGCGGUAAUAC